rnacentral:rRNA from 1 species
AACGAACGCUGGCGGCGUGGAUAAGACAUGCAAGUCGAGCGAGAUUUUCCGCUGUAGCAAUACAGUGGAAAGUCUAGCGGCGAACGGGUGCUUAACACGUGGGCAACCUGCCGAGAAGUGGGGGAUAGCUCGCCGAAAGGCGAAUUAAUACCGCAUGUGAUUAGAGUGGACAUCCAUUCGAAAUUAAAGGUGGCGCAAGCUACCGCUUUUUGUGGGGCCCGCGGCCUAUCAGCUAGUUGGUGAGGUAACGGCCGACCAAGGCUUUGACGGGGAGCUGGUCUGAGAGGACGACAGCCACAAUGGGACUGAGACACGGCCCAGACACCUACGGGUGGCAGCAGUCGAGAAUUUUUGACAAUGGGGGAAACCCUGAUCGAGCGACGCCGCGUGGAGGAUGAAGGUCUUCGGAUUGUAAACUCCUGUCAUUGGGGAACAAUGCGUGACGGUUAACUGCCGUCGUGUUGAUAGUACCCGAAGAGGAAGAGACGGCUAACUCUGUGCCAGCAGCCGCAGUAAUAC